CUUUCAGUCCACUUCGCCCUCUUUGCUGAUGGCAACAAUAAGAAAACAGUCCGCGUCCCUCCCCCUGUAAAGGGAUUUCUUCUUGAUAGAGCUGAGAGUCUGGAGUCGCUCGCCGAAGCCAAUUCACAACCUCCAUCUGUCCUCGGUCUCAAAGGGAAAACCUGCAGGUGGAGAAGCGGCACAAAGCGUCUGCAUGUUUGGGGCCGUGGAUUUCUGUCUUUUAGACUCCAUUGGACGUCACAAUGGUGGUGCAAGUGCGGACAAAUAUCCCUGUGACCUCUCUUUCCUCCGAACCCCCCACCGGAGCAGAGCGGUGCGGCACACGGGCUUCUUCCUGCUGGAAGGUGAUUGAGCGUGCGCUCCCCGCUCCGGCUCUGUCCUGCUUUGUCUGGGCGACGUGUGCCUGUGUCAGGAACCACAAUUAGUGGGGCGCGUCCCCGGCCAUUAAUCACAGAACUGUCCCGGAUCCCUGCCACUGACCGACGCCCACUUCACCCACACACACACUCAAUGACGUCCUGCUCGUGUCGGUGACAUCAUCACGCAUGGUAAUGUAAAAUUGGCACCAUUGGCGUCUCUCAUUGUCUCUCAUUGUCUCUCUGUUCUUCACAGGUUUUUCUCCUUCUGUAUUUCUGUGACCUCUGGUGGUAUCUGAUGUAUCUGAGGUGGUUCUGUCUGAUCUGUCACGCCAAAGAGGAUCAGACUCUUGGAUCGUAGUUUACGCGUGACAUAAACUUCGGCGUUAGUCCAUGCGAAUGUCAAACCAGUCACAACAUUUAACACGGCACCAGGUCACUAGAUUGUGUUUGUUUCCCGAACAACUCCAGUUUUAACGCUGGCAGGAAAUGGUUAGCCAGAGAUACGUUUGCUACCCGGUUCCAACGAGUUUCCUGAGUUUUGAGUUUGGACGCAAAUGGAACGCAGCGUAAAACUGGCGUCAUUUAGCAAUUAAAGGCCCCAGACCCAACGCCCGUCGCGCGCUCUUGGUGCUGUUUGCUGAUUUUGGCGUGAGUGUGUUGGGUGCGCGCGGACCGCGCAUGUGCGAAGUGAACUUCCACCCCUACCAGUAGGUGGAGUAUUAAGCCGCGCUCACCAAGCAGAAAAAAGAAUAAGUCGUCGCCAAGGAUAAUCAUCCGAGCCUCCACCUGGCGUAGCAUCAUCCGGUGACGUGGGAUACUACAGCAUGCUGACGCGUGAGUAGACCUUGUCCCCGCCCACCUCGGUGCUGCUGCGUACAA